rnacentral:rRNA from 1 species
ACGAAGGGGGCUAGCGUUGUUCGGAAUUACUGGGCGUGAAGGGCGCGCAGGCGGCCCUCCAAGUCAGGUGUGAAAGCCCCGGGCUCAACCCGGGAAUUGCACUUGAGACUGGGGGGCUUGAGUUCGGGAGAGGAGAGUGGAAUUCCCAGUGUAGAGGUGAAAUUCGUAGAUAUUGGGAAGAACACCGGUGGCGAAGGCGGCUCUCUGGACCGACACUGACGCUGAGGCGCGAAAGCGUGGGGAGCAAACAGGA